GCCGAAAUGGCGGAACUGGCAGACGCGCGAGACUCAAAAUCUCGUGGUGGCAACAUCGUGUGGGUUCAAGUCCCACUUUCGGCA
rnacentral:tRNA from 1 species